rnacentral:rRNA from 1 species
AGUGAACGCUGGCGGUAGGCCUAACACAUGCAAGUCGAACGGCAGCACAGUAAGAGCUUGCUCUUACGGGUGGCGAGUGGCGGACGAGUGAGGAAUACAUCGGAAUCUACUUUUUCGUGGGGGAUAACGUAGGGAAACUUACGCUAAUACCGCAUACGACCUACGGGUGAAAGCAGGGGAUCUUCGGACCUUGCGCGAUUGAAUGAGCCGAUGUCGGAUUAGCUCGUUGGCGGGGUAAAGGCCCACCAAGGCGACGAUCCGUAGCUGGUCUGAGAGGAUGAUCAGCCACACUGGAACUGAGACACGGUCCAGACUCCUACGGGAGGCAGCAGUGGGGAAUAUUGGACAAUGGGCGCAAGCCUGAUCCGGCCAUACCGCGUGGGUGAAGAAGGCCUUCGGGUUGUAAAGCCCUUUUGUUGGGAAAGAAAAGCAGCAGGUUAAUACCCCGCUGUUCUGACGGUACCCAAAGAAUAAGCACCGGCUAACUUCGUG